rnacentral:rRNA from 2 species
UUGAACUGAAGAGUUUGAUCCUGGCUCAGAUUGAACGCUGGCGGCAUGCCUUACACAUGCAAGUCGAACGGCAGC